rnacentral:rRNA from 1 species
AAACUUUCAACAACGGAUCUCUUGGUUCUGGCAUCGAUGAAGAACGCAGCAAAAUGCGAUAAGUAAUGCGAAUUGCAGAAUUUCCGUGAGUCAUCGAAUCUUUGAACGCACAUUGCGCCCUUUGGCAUUCCGAAGGGCAUGCCUGUUCGAGCGUCAUUA